UACGGGGGGGGCAAGCGUUGUUCGGAGUUACUGGGCGUAAAGGGCUCGUAGGCGGCCAACUAAGUCAGACGUGAAAUCCCUCGGCUUAACCGGGGAACUGCGUCUGAUACUGGAUGGCUUGAGUUCGGGAGAGGGAUGCGGAAUUCCAGGUGUAGCGGUGAAAUGCGUAGAUAUCUGGAGGAACACCGGUGGCGAAGGCGGCAUCCUGGACCGAUACUGACGCUGAGGAGCGAAAGCCAGGGGAGCAAACGGG
rnacentral:rRNA from 1 species